GUUGGCUGUGAUGGAUACACUCGUUCCCGUGAGAUCACGAAAGUUAAGCAUCACAGGUUGCGGGGCGGUCUGGGAUGGGUGCCGCUCCGUAACGGCGUUGACAUAUUGGGAUGCGGCGGCCAGGGCUCACUUCUACCGAGGACUAGGGAGGACUCCGGAGGGAGAGACACGUCGCUACAACCACCAGUUUGAGAGUCGAACCGUCGAAAAAUCAGGUCC
rnacentral:misc_RNA from 1 species